UUUAAUAGAAGCCAAAAGGAGGCCUCUCAUUGUUAAUGAGCUUAUUGAGUAAUAUUCCUAUUAAA
rnacentral:tRNA from 1 species